CGCCAAGGCGGCAGCUACACAUGCAGUCGAGCGAACCUUCGGGUUAGCGGCGGACGGGUGAGUAACGCGUGGGAACGUACCCUCUUCUGCGGGAUAGCCACUGGAAACGGUGAGUAAUACCGCAUACGCCCUUCGGGGGAAAGAUUUAUCGGAGGAGGAUCGGCCCGCGUUGGAUUAGGUAGUUGGUGGGGUAAUGGCCUACCAAGCCUACGAUCCAUAGCUGGUUUUAGAGGAUGAUCAGCCACACUGGGACUGAGACACGGCCCAGACUCCUACGGGAGGCAGCAGUGGGGAAUCUUAGACAAUGGGCGCAAGCCUGAUCUAGCCAUGCCGCGUGAGUGACGAAGGCCUUAGGGUCGUAAAGCUCUUUCGCCAGAGAUGAUAAUGACAGUAUCUGGUAAAGAAACCCCGGCUAACUCCGUGCCAGCAGCCGCGGUAAUACGGAGGGGGUUAGCGUUGUUCGGAAUUACUGGGCGUAAAGCGCACGUAGGCGGAUUGGAAAGUUGGGGGUGAAAUCCCAGGGCUCAACCCUGGAACUGCCUCCAAAACUCCCAGUCUGGAGUUCGAGAGAGGUGAGUGGAAUUCCGAGUGUAGAGGUGAAAUUCGUAGAUAUUCGGAGGAACACCAGUGGCGAAGGCGGCUCACUGGCUCGAUACUGAC
rnacentral:rRNA from 1 species